rnacentral:rRNA from 1 species
UGGGGAAUAUUGGACAAUGGGGGCAACCCUGAUCCAGCAAUGCCGCGUGAGUGAUGAAGGCCUUAGGGUUGUAAAGCUCUUUUACCGGGGACGAUGAUGACGGUACCCGGAGAAUAAGCCCCGGCUAACUUCGUGCCAGCAGCCGCGGUAAUACGAAGGGGGCGAGCGUUGUUCGGAGUUACUGGGCGUAAAGGGCGCGUAGGCGGCGAUCCAAGUUAGGCGUGAAAGCCCCGGGCUUAACCUGGGAAUAGCGCUUAAGACUGGAUUGCUUGAGUGCGGGAGAGGUGAGUGGAAUUCCCAGUGUAGAGGUGAAAUUCGUAGAUAUUGGGAAGAACACCAGUGGCGAAGGCGGCUCACUGGCCCGCAACUGACGCUGAGGCGCGAAAGCGUGGGGAGCAAACAGG